GUGGACUACUUGACCUUCGGGGGAUUUGUUGGGCGGCGAGCGGCGGACGGGUGAGUAAUGCCUGGGAACAUGCCUUAGUGUGGGGGAUAACCAUUGGAAACGAUGGCUAAUACCGCAUAAUCUCUACGGAGCAAAGAGGGGGACCUUCGGGCCUCUCGCGCUAAGAUUGGCCCAGGUGGGAUUAGCUAGUAGGUGGGGUAACGGCUCACCUAGGCGACGAUCCCUAGCUGGUCUGAGAGGAUGAUCAGCCACACUGGAACUGAGACACGGUCCAGACUCCUACGGGAGGCAGCAGUGGGGAAUAUUGCACAAUGGGGGAAACCCUGAUGCAGCCAUGCCGCGUGUGUGAAGAAGGCCUUCGGGUUGUAAAGCACUUUCAGCAGUGAGGAAGGCGGUAUCGUUAAUAGCGGUAUCGUUUGACGUUAGCUGCAGAAGAAGCACCGGCUAACUCCGUGCCAGCACCAGCCGGGUAAUAA
rnacentral:rRNA from 1 species